GAGCACCAAUUAUGCUAAUAAAUGAGCACGUUAGCACGUUAUUGUAAUAUCCCAUAGUACAUACAUGUUAUUAAAACUUGAACUAAUGCACUGUGAGUCUUAUAAAUUGCUUACAUACCUCACCGAUUUCCCACUGUCUGGAAAACGCUCGGUUUAGUUCCUGUCUCCGCCUCCCAAAAUGUCUAGUGUAUUCGGAUUGGUCAGAUGACUACUCAACUGUUAUUGGUCAACUGGGUUCGGCGUGUGUUUGAAAGGUUACGCCCCUGACUACGCGUGGGUUUUCCGGUUCUGACUGAGAGUCACAGGCAACGUAAACAAGCGCUAUAUUUCUCUAUAAACGAUGGUGUCUGUACUGCCUUACCACUUCAAGCUCGAUCCAGAGAGUUCAGACGGCGUUACGAUAUAAACGAUCUCCGUCAAUUAACGCGAUUGGAUUUAACUUUUUUAGGUGUCCUUAGCUCUGCCAGAAUGCUAAACGAAGACGAAAAUGUGUUGCAAAGACAUCCAAAAGGUUUUAAGGAGAAUGCAACAGGUUCCAGGGCCUCUUACCUGCGUGAUUCAUCAUCCAGAUACGCUUGGAGCUUCCUGAUCAGAUCGGUCACAAUUUUGGCUUUCGAUGACCCCUGCACUGAAGAUGGCAUGCAAUCACGUCCUCCUUUGAAGGUCUCUCAAACUGUGAUGCCAGGUCCAUUGGAAUCGGGGUU